rnacentral:rRNA from 1 species
CCUACGGGAGGCUGCAGUGAGGAAUAUUGGUCAAUGGCCGUAAGGCUGAACCAGCCAAGUCGCGUGAAGGAAGAAGGAUCUAUGGUUUGUAAACUUCUUUCAUAGGGGAAUAAAGGUAUCUACGUGUGGAUAUGUGCAUGUACCCUAUGAAUAAGCAUCGGCUAACUCCGGGCCAGCAGCAGCGGUAAUACGGAGGAUGCGAGCGUUAUCCGGAGUUCUUGGGUUAAAAGGGUGCGUAGGCGGAAUAUAAAGUCAGCGGUAAAUAUUCGGGGCUCAACCCCGUCGUGCCGUGGAAACUGAUGUUCUUGAGGGCGCGAGAGGUAUGCGGAAUGCGUGGUGUAGCGGUGAAAUGCAUAGAUAUCACGCAGAACUCCGAUUGCGAAGGCAGCAUACCGGCGCCCAACUGACGCUGAAGCACGAAAGCGUGGGUAUCGAACAGGAUUAGAUACCCCAGUAGUC